rnacentral:rRNA from 1 species
CCCAUCCUACGGGAGGCAGCAGUAGGGAAUCUUCCACAAUGGGCGAAAGCCUGAUGGAGCAACGCCGCGUGGGUGAAGAAGGUCUUCGGAUCGUAACACCCUGUUGUUAGAGAAGAAAGUGCGUGAGAGUAACUGUUCACGUUUCGACGGUAUCUAACCAGAAAGCCACGGCUAACUACGUGCCAGCAGCCGCGGUAGUACGUAGGUGGCAAGCGUUAUCAGGAUUUAUUGGGCGUAAAGGGAACGCAGGCGGUCUUUUAAGACUGAAGUGAAAGCCUUCGGAUUAACCGGAGGAGUGCAUUGGG